GACGAACGCUGGCGGCGUGCUUAACACAUGCAAGUCGAGCGGUAAGGCCCUUCGGGUACACGAGCGGCGAACGGGUGAGUAACACGUGGGUGACCUGCCUCUAGCUCUGGGAUAAGCCUGGGAAACUGGGUCUAAUACCGGAUAUGACUCCACGGCGCAUGUUGUGGGGUGGAAAGCCUUGUGUGGCUAGAGAUGGGCCCGCGGCCUAUCAGCUUGUUGGUGGGGAUGGCCUACCAAGGCGACGACGGGUAGCCGGCCUGAGAGGGCGACCGGCCACACUGGGACUGAGACACGGCCCAGACUCCUACGGGAGGCAGCAGUGGGGAAUCUUGCGCAAUGGGCGAAAGCCUGACGCAGCGACGCCGCGUGA
rnacentral:rRNA from 1 species